GGGACUUGAAAUCUCCAAUCUUCUCGUCGACAGAAACUGGAAUGUAAAGGUACAAGUACAACAACUAAAUGCCUUAAUUUUCCUCUACAUGUCGCACUAUUGACGACCUGUAAAAAUGAUCUCUUUACUUCUAAAGUUACAAAAAAAAACUUAUUCCCUAGGUUGUAGACUUUGGGCUGUCAAAGUGGAAGAACGCAACAUUCUUAAGCACUAGAUCCGGGAAAGGAACACCACAGUGGAUGGCCCCUGAAGUUCUAAGGAGUGAACCUCCGAAUGAUAAGUACGUAUUAACCCUUGCUUACUCUCUUUCUUGUGAUACAUUGUUCAGUAUCUUAGAAUUUUGGAUUAAAAACUCAAUACUUUUGUUGUAACAGGUGUGAUGUGCUCAGCUUUGGAAUCAUCUUAUGGGAGCUAAUGACUACUUUAAUUCCAUGGGACCGUCUAAGCUCUAUCCAGGUACCUUAUCAACUUGUGAGAUUAUAGCACAAUAAUAAAGAUUCUAAUCAAGUUUAAAAUAGGUUGUUGGAGUUGUGGGAUUCAUGGACCGACAGUUGGACUUGCCUGAAAGAUUAAAUCCUCAGAUCGCAUCCAUAGUAGAAGAUUGUUGGCAAACGUAAGACACGAUAUACGUAUUAUACAUUGUUUCACCAAAUAUUCCCUCAAAUCAUUGGUUAGGGUAUCUAUAACCUUUUUGUGAUACGUUCUUGGAACAGUGAUCCAGCAAAACGACCGUCGUUUGAAGUUAUAAUUAGUAGGAUGAUGAGCCUGUUCUGCAAUACGGGGUCGAGUGCAUAGGAAGAAGAGGAUUGAGAAGGUUAAAAUGGUUCAUGGUCAGAGGAGAUGGUUCACACAAAGCAAAGGACGUCAACAAAAGAAAAGCAUACUUUUAUAAAGUUAAUAUAAUAUGGUCAAUGUGAGCACUUACUUUUAUAAUGUUAAAUAUAAUAUGGCCAAACUCGCAAAAGGGGUUAUGAAAAGACUCUGAUUAGCGAAAAACACUAAAGCGGUGCUGGAACCAUCUCCAAUAAGACAAGGAGAGCAGUCAAAGCUCAUUCAAUUUGGUACAAUGUAUUGUCUCUGUGAUCUUGCUGAUGAACAAGGACGUCAAAGUUAGGAAGAUGCUAUAACCAUUCAAGUCAGAAAUUGAUUUGAUUAUGCACAACGUUAUCAUAUUGCAGGUGAUCAUUUGUUUUUUUCUCCUACUCUCUUAUCGUUAUAUAUUGCAAAUUCAUGCUGCUGAUUGAGUUUUUACCUCUUUAAUUUCUCUUGCAGUCCUCUAUCUUGACUGUAGAAGUAAAACAUAUUAUGAAAACCACAGAAGAGCAACUUAGAAUUGCAUCAAAUAGUUUAGUAGGCUGUGCAACUGUGACAGUAUAAUGAUUUUUGCUCUCGGUUGCAAAAAGGAUAUGUUUUUUCUUUGCUGACUCGGGAAAGCACCAACUUAAGUUCACAAUUUUCAUACGUUUCACGGCUCGGACAUGUUCCAUGACUAGCAGAAAAUCCACACUAAGUGUGCUCCCAAAAGGCCUAAAGAUCAGAAUUUUUUUUGGUUGUUUCCCCACGAGAUAUAACAAAUAAAUAAUAAGUAUUUAGUGAAAAGACAUAAUUAAAGUCAACUUAGUUAGUUUGAUAAAAAAACAAAAAAAAAACAAAAAAACCUUAUUAAACAAUUUUCGUAACAAAAUAAUAAUUUAGUUAAACAUAUAUUAUAUUAUA